GACGAAGGAUGCAAGCGUUAUCCGGAUUCAUUGGGUUUAAAGGGAGCGUAGGUGGCCUUAUAAGUCAGUGGUGAAAUCUCUGGGCUUAACCCAGAAAUUGCCAUUGAUACUGUAGGGCUUGAGUAUAGUUGCCGUUGGCGGAAUAUUGACAUGUAGUGGUGAAAUACAUAGAGAUGUCAUAGAACACCGAUUGCGAAGGACAGCUGACGAAACUAUAACUUGACACUGAGGCUCGAAAGUGCGGGGGAUCAAAACAGGAUUAG
rnacentral:rRNA from 1 species